AACAUAUUUUCUGGUGUUGAUUCAUCCUUUGGUAGGUCAUUGGCAUAUGGGCUCCUCAGUGGUCAAAGGAUUCCAUCAACACUGAACACCAGCUUGCCUUCCUCUUUGCCUUGGAUGCACAUCGACGUUUGGGAAUAUUGGCGGCUUUGCUAUAGUUCGACAAGUGCGUCCAACUUAUAGUGUGGUACUGACACGAAGAUAUUUCUAGCAGGAGUUUAGCUGCGCAUCUUAUUUUAACUCUGGUUUGUACUUCAAGAUUUGUAGCAUGGAGUUAGCUUAUGUACUUCAUUGUUUUGGAGGUGUCGAGGUUAUCGUCUAUCUCACUGCAAGUUAUCUUUCCUUUCAAAUGGUUAUUGGACCAAUCCUCACAAAUUGGAAGCUUGAGGAGAAGCUGCUAGUUUUGUUGUUGUUUGGACCCGAUUUGAAGACUGGGAUGGCUAAUUUGGGAUUUCUACAAUUUUAAUAAGCUUGCCUCAUAUAUGUCUCGAUUAGGUCCCAACUCCUUGAGGUGUAUAGCAUUCAUCCGUCAUAUUUUGUUUCCGGCCAUAUGUCCCUUGUUUCCGGCCAUAUGUCCCUGAUCAAAUGUUUCGUGUCGUAUGAUGCUUAGCAUUCCAAUAGUAGGUGUGACGAAAUUUGUUGGUCCUGCCGGGUGUGUAUUUAAAACAUAUCCAUUGACCUGUACUUUUAUCCA